rnacentral:misc_RNA from 1 species
GAGAUAACUAGGUCAGCGCC